AGUGAUACGCUACACCCGCCAGUCCACCCUCAACAGCGGCCUGGAGGGAGGUGUGGGGGGUGUGGGGGGUGCGGGGUGCGGCAGGCGGGGAGGAACAGGUGUGGAGGGGGGCGAGCCAGGUACAGGUGUGUCCUUCAACGGGGUAACAUCCAGCAACCAGAUGACAUGUUCCCCGCGCUCCCUGUCCAGUGUGAAGCAGGACGUAGGCGGGAGGUCUGCUAACUUCCUGCUGCCCUCCGCGCCCCCCCUCCCCCUCUCCCCUUCUCGGCCUGCUGACAACGGAAAACACGUACAGUUCCCGUCUAACGCACACGCCGUGAAACAAAUGGAAGAAGGAGAAGAAAACAACAAGAAGGAUGAUGACAACAACAAAAACAACAAACCCAAAGAGGAAAACGAAGACAAAGAAAACGAAGAAGAAGAAGAAAAAGAAGAAAAGAAGAACGAAAGUAAAAAACAAACUCACUUUCAACCCUCUCCCACCUCCUCUUCCUGCCCUCCUCCUCCUCUUCCUCCUACUCCUACCUCCUCCUCCUCCUCCUCCUCCUCCUCCCCCACCCCCUCCCCCCUCUGCCCCUCCGACGCCCCUCUUCUCCUCCAGGUAAACUCUCCCAAGGUGGUGAAAAGGUACUAAUUGAGGACAGGUGGCAGGUGACGCAACUCAAAGGUAUUUCCCAAAGGUGUUUCUUGAAAUUGGAACACACGGGGAAGAAAAACUACUGGGAUUUGGAACACAGGGGAUGGAAUGAAGGUGCUGUGGUGUGUGUGUGUGUGUGUGUGUGUGUGUGUGUGUGUGUGUGUGUGUGUGUGUGUGUGUGUGUGUGUGUUGCUGGUUUUGUGUUGUGUUGCGUGGUGGUGGUGGUGAUGUAGGGUGGUGGUGGUGGUGGUGUAAGGCGGUGGUGUUGGUGAUGACGGUGGUGGGGGAGAUGAUCUUGGUGGUGGUGAUGGUGGUGUUAAUGUUUUGAGAUGGUGUUGCGGAGAUGUGUUGAACAGUAAGGUGGUGGUGGUGGUGAUGAUGAUGGUGAUGAUAGCGGUGGUGGUGAUGAUAGUGGUAGCGGUGAUGAUAGUGGUGAUGGUGUUGAUGGCAGUAACAACAACUUUGGUUCUUCACAAAUAAAAGAAAAAGAAAAGUAACAAAUGAGUGAAGUAAUUAAAAAAAAAAAAAUCUACCAGGUAUAACUUCAA